AUCGUCAACUUCAUGAACUUGUUAGACUUUUGGAACUUUUUAUGAUGUAACGACAAGAGAGAAGAAAACUGACAUUAAAGGAGAACCAGUAAGAUGUAUGAUGAAUCAAGAUGUGAUCUUGUGGGUCCUGUUCUGUGGAUGCCAUGAGAUGAUCUGUCUGUUCAUCUGAUAUCACUUGUCCUGAGUAUAUUUUCUCUCCUCAUAGCCCAAUCUCACUCAAAUUUAACUCAUAGAGUGCCUGUGGAUGGAGGGUAAAAAGUGACCUUGGACCAAUUAUCUAGGUCAAAGAUCGCAGAUGAUGUGAAGAAAAUAAGGAAGCUGAUGUUGAAAGAAGUAUAGAGUAUUUAAUGAAGUUUAUGAAUGGACUUAUAUAAUUAGAUGUGAAAGACUACUUCAUUGUUUACCAAGAUAUAUGAUUUUAUUUAUUUUGAUAUCAUUUUCAAAUAAUGUUUUUGCACAUCAAAUGAAUUAUUAAACAUAUGAUUUGAUAA